rnacentral:rRNA from 1 species
AGAACGAACGCUGGCGGCAUGCCUAACACAUGCAAGUCGAACGAGACCUUCGGGUCUAGUGGCGCACGGGUGCGUAACGCGUGGGAAUCUGCCCUUAGGUUCGGAAUAACAGUUAGAAAUGACUGCUAAUACCGGAUAAUGUACUUCGGACCAAAGUAUUUAUUGCCUAAGGAUGAGCCCGCGUAAGAUUAGCUUGUUGGUGAGGUAAACGGCUCACGAAGGCGACGAUCUUUAGCUGGUCUGAGAGGAUGAUCGAGCCACCACGUGGGACUGACGACGACCGGCCCAGACCUCCG